rnacentral:lncRNA from 1 species
AGAAGCUUAAUAUCAUAUUUGGUUCUCCACAGGGAGAGGUAGUUCUGCAAGUUUAAAUAUAUUUUGAAUAGCUUUCUUUUGUGUUCUUCUCUUUCUCUGUAAAUUUGGUUUCAUGGAUGUGUUUUCUGAACUCUUUAAGAACUCCUUUAUUGCUUAUCAUUUCAGUUUCAACUUCAUUGUCCCACCCUCAGGAAACUUACCAAACAUGCUGUUAUGUUGAAGCACAUGGAAUUCCUGGAACUCAUUUGGAUUUUACCAUCUCAGGCUGUUUUACAGACAUGGCAGGAAUUGUGCUGUUUAUAAGUUGUGCUGCCAUCGUGUGGACAAUAUUAAGAAGUGCAAAAAGAAGCUUUUAAGAAAUCGGGAAACGGGUAAAUAUCUGUAUUUGUUAUCGUGAAUUAGAUUAAUUAUAAAUAUAUAUUAUACAAGAGCUAUGCAAAAAUCUGUGGGUUUAACACUGAUAAUGGAAUCAGGAAUAUUGAUUCAAUCCUGUUUAUUUUCAGUUCAAGAAAUCCUUUGCAAUGAGCACAAAGUGAUCAAAAUACACAAGUCUCCAAACCACUUUUAAUCAGCACCAAAUUCCAACAUUACCUGCUUUUUUAUUCAUUUCUGUAUCUUUUUAUCUCUUUGUUUUUCCUCUAAGUCUUUGCAAAACUUGUUUUUGUACAGAGUGCAUUGCUUUCCUUCCACUCACACGCACAAACACUCACUCAGAACAUCAGCCAGCCCAGGCACCCUGCCCACACAGUCCUCAUUCCUGCAUGAGUUUACACGAAGCUUCCUUUCAGAAAUGGUUUUGGUCUAAGGCCUCUUCUUGUUUCCUACAUUUGACCCAGAGUUAAGAAACUUAGAGUUGAAAUAGCUGCAUCUAAUACCAGUAAAAGUCCAAUGGCCAAAUGAGAAACACUACAGUGCAUUCCUGCAGUUUUAGUCUUACUAAAAUUAAAUAUCUACAAAACUUUAUCUAAUAAACUUUAAUAUCUGUAAAAUAUAAGUGGACUU